GAGGAGAGUGCAUUGGUGGUGGCGGGGACUUGUACUUGUAAACUGGUGUUGGUGGUGGUGGAGAGUGCAUUGGUGGUGGUGGAGACUUGUAUUUGUAGACCGGUGUUGGUGGUGGUGGGGAAUGCUCGGGUGGUGGUGGAGAUUUAUAAACUGGAGUUGGUGGUGGUGGAGACUUGUACUUGUAAUGGUGUACUGGUGCGGGAGAAUGCUUAGGUGGUGGUGGAGACUUGUACUUGUAGACGGGUGUUGGAGGUGGUGGAGAUUUAUACUUGUAGACCGGUGUUGGUGGUGGUGGAGACUUGUACUUAUAGUGAUGUUCUGGUGCGGGAGAAUGCUUAGGUGGUGGUGGAGACUUGUACUUAUAGUGAUGUUCUGGUGCAGGAGAAUGCUUAGGUGGUGGUGGAGAUUUGUACUUAUAAACCGGUGUUGGUGGUGGUGGAGACUUGUACUUAUAAUGAUGCACUGGUGCGGGGGAAUGCUUAGGUGGUGGUGGAGAUUUAUACUUGUAAACCGGUGUUGGUGGUGGUGGAGAAUGUUUUGGCGGAGGUGGAGACUCAAAAUGAUAAGGCGUUGGAGGAGAAUGCAUAGGAGGUGGUGGAGACUUGUACUUGUAAACCGGUGUAGGUGGUGGUGGAGAAUGUUUAGGCGGGGGCGGGGAUUUGUAGUGGUAAGGCGGAGGAGGAGAAUGCUCCGGGGGUGGAGGAGAAUGCUCGGGAGGUGGUGGAGAGGAGUAAGAGUAUUUAGCUGUGGUUUGUGAAGCCAAAUUGAGGGACACCAAUACUACAAGCAAAGACACAAUGAGAGACCUCAUUUUGGAGCCUCUAGCAAUCCUUCCCAUGUUUACUACAACCAAAAGGCU
rnacentral:lncRNA from 1 species